rnacentral:rRNA from 1 species
CAGUAGUCACGAGUUUGAUCCUGGCUCAGAACACGCUGGCGGCAUGCCUAACACAUGCAAGUCGAACGAGACCUUCGGGUCUAGUGGCGCACGGGUGCGUAACACGUGGGAAUUUGCCUCGGGGUAUGGAAUAACUCAGGGAAACUUGAGCUAAUACCAUAUAAUGUCUUCGGACCAAAGAUUUAUCGCCCUGAGAUAAGCCCGCGUAGGAUUAGCUAGUUGGUGGGGUAAAGGCUCACCAAGGCGACGAUCCUUAGCUGGUCUGAGAGGAUGAUCAGCCACACUGGGACUGAGACACGGCCCAGACUCCUACGGGAGGCAGCAGUGGGGGAAUAUUGGACAAUGGGCGAAAGCCUGAUCCAGCAAUGCCGCGUGAGUGAUGAAGGCCUUCGGGUUGUAAAGCUCUUUUACUCGGGACGAUAAUGACGGUACCGAGAGAAUAAGCCCCGGCUAACUCCGUG